CCUACGGGUGGCAGCAGUCGAGAAUCAUUCACAAUGGGGGAAACCCUGCUGGUGCGACGCCGCGUGGGGGAAUGAAGGUCUUCGGAUUGUAAACCCCUGUCAUGUGGGAGCAAAUUAAAAAGAUAGUACCACAAGAGGAAGAGACGACAAACUCUGUGCCAGCAGCCGCGGUAAUACAGAGGUCUCAAGCGUUGUUCGGAAUCACUGGGCGUAAAGCGUGCGUAGGCUGUUUCGUAAGUCGUGUGUGAAAGGCGGGGGCUCAACCCGCGGACGGCACAUGAUACUGCGAGACUAGAGUAAUGGAGGGGGAACGGGAAUUCUGGGUGGAGCAGUGAAAUGCGUAGAUAUCGAGAGGAACACUCGUGGCGAAGGCGGGUUCCUGGACAUUAACUGACGCUGGGGCACGAAGGCCAGGGGAGCGAAAGGGAUGAGAUACCCUAGUAG
rnacentral:rRNA from 1 species